GGCUCUAAAGCAUCCGUAGCCGGUUGCAUAAGUUUUCGGUUAAAUCUAUGCGCUUAACGUAUAGACCGCCGAAAAUACUGUGCAGCUAGGGAGUGGGAGAGGUACCGGUACUCGAUAGGAAGGGGUAAAAUCCUUUGAUUAUUGAAGACCACCUGUGCGAAGGCGGUGUACCAGACACGUUCGACGGUGAGGGAUGAAAGCUGGGGGAGCAAACCGGAUUAGAUACCCGGGUAGUCCCAGCUGUAACGAUGCAGAUCGGUGAUGCAUUGGCUUGUGGCCAAUGCAGUGCCGCAGGGAAGCCGUUAAGUCUGCCGCUGGGAAGUAUAUGCAAGUAUGACUAAAGGAUUGCGGGCACCACAGGGGUGAAGCUCG
rnacentral:rRNA from 1 species